CUCUGACUCUCUAUAGCGGUUUUAAUUCGCCAAAGGGUAAGUUUGUCAAAUCAAAAACGCAGAAUAUUUUGCUUACCGGAUAAAGUUAUCCGAAUACGAACUAAACCAACGAAUGACCUCGGGAAUGUUCGGUUCAGCUCUAAUGCAAAAAGAGCCAUUAUAUUUCAAGGGGCGUUAAUCGAAUGCUAACCAUCUAUCAGUGAAGACGAUCCAUGAGACGUUAGUGUGACAAGUGAUUGACAAAAGAAAGUUAACUAUACAGUGGACCUAGAAGACCAAGAAAAGUCAGGCCGUGACGGAUUUCGUGAAUAGAAAUCAGGAAAAACUGAAACAGAAAAUAUACGGCACUAGGGACACCUCGGUAGAACAACCACGUGUGCGAAGUUUCGAGAAGACCAAGAAUAAACCCUUCAAACGAAGGUCAUACCCUCAGGCGACAAGUUCUGGUGGAAUUGCCCUAAAGGGUUCUGGGCACGUGUCGGACUAAAGAGCCAAACCCUCCAAUAAGCUCCGAGAGUUCGGCCAGCCGGUUACUCGUCACAACCCCGGCGACCAUCAUCAGCAAGCCGAACCGCCCGUCGACAUCCACCACCGCCGCCUUCGUAGGCCCCGAGCGGCGUCACUCGCCAAUAUCCAUCGACCCCGUCGUCGGCGUCGAGCCGAGUCGUCUGACGUCACCAUCUGUCAGCCGCGAGCUUUCUUAGCGGGCUGACGUCACCCAUUCGCAGCACAUCAGAGCUCUAUGUUGCAUGCAUGCUACAAUUGAAAGCUUCGCCGAAACCGCUUCGGUGACACGACACCGCAGCAACUUCCAUCGCGCGCAACAUCAGUGCUACAACCCAUCGCAACCCGAAGAAAAAAAGUGAGUGCAAAGAUCCUACGACUAACCCCAUGCAUGGAAAAUAAAUGGAUUCGAAUCAGA